GUCGAGAAUCUUCCGCAAUGCGCGAAAGCGUGACGGAGCGACACCGCGUGAUGGAUGAAGUCCUUCGGGGCGUAAACAUCUUUUAUAAAGGAGGAAAUUUUUGACGUUACUUUAUGAAUAAUGGGCUCCCAAUCUCGUGCCAGCAGGAGCGGUAAUACGAGAGCCUCAAGCGUUAUCCGGAAUCAUUGGGCGUAAAGGGUGCGUAGGUGGUUUGAUUAGUCUCCCGUUAAAACUUCGAGCGUAACUCGAAAAGAGCGGGGGAAACGGUCAAACUAGAGUAUGUGAGAGGUGUGUGGAACUCAUGGUGUAGGGGUGAAAUCCGUUGAUAUCAUGGGGAACACCAAAAGCGAAGGCAGCACACUGGCACAUCACUGACACUGAGGCACGAAACCUAAGGUAGCGAAUGGGAUUAGAAACCCGGGUAGUCC
rnacentral:rRNA from 1 species